AUUGAACGCUGGCGGCGUGCUUAACACAUGCAAGUCGAUCGGUAACAGGUGUAGCAAUACAUGCUGACGAGAGGCGGACGGGUGAGUAAUGCUUGGGAAUCUGCCUAGUUAGUGGGGACACCCGGGGAAACUCGGGCUAAUACCGCAUACGCUCUACGGAGGAAAGCCGGGGACCGCAAGGCCUGGCGCUAAUAGGAUGA
rnacentral:rRNA from 1 species